UACAGAGGGGCGAGCAGUGUUCGGUGAAUUACUGGGCGUAAAGCGCGCGUAGGCGGACCUGCAAGUCGGGGGUGAAAGCCCGAGCUCAACCUCGGAACUGCCUUCGAUACUGCGGGUCUCGAGUCCGGGAGAGGUGAGUGGAACUGCGAGUGUAGAGGUGAAAUUCGUAGAUAUUCGCAAGAACACCAGUGGCGAAGGCGGCUCACUGGCCCGAUACUGACGCUGAGGCACGAAAGCGUGGGGAGCAAACAGG
rnacentral:rRNA from 1 species